CCGGGGGCUGGGCUGACGGCAGAGGGGGCUGGUUGGUGUUGGAUCGCCCAGCAGUCUCCGGCAAAUGUCUUGUAGUGAGGAGCUCUGCGGAAGUGUUGCAGGACCUGGUCCCAUCAGGUUUUCCUCAUCUGGGGGACAUGGGGUUCAAUGUAAAGUGGGAUCCUUGAUUUCGGAAGAUCUAGAUGCUCUGCCUUUCAGCUGGGCCUGCUUUUCACAUUUGAAUCUUGGAUAACAGAUGAAGACUGUGCUAACUGGAUGUGACAACAUCAUAUAAAAAGCAAGACAUUCGGUCAGCUAGAGAAUCAACCUCUUGUCUAUGCAUGCUGGAGGCGGGGAAGGGCAAAGGCCUCAAGGAAGAGCCGGCACCAGAUGCGCACCCUGUUCCAAGCCUCUGUUUGUGCUGCCGUGUAGGGAGAGGGUGAGUGGAUUCCACCUCCAUCCGGGUGUCCCAGCUGCCUCAUUGCCAGCAAUAAUUUGGCAAGAAAAAAAAUCCAGACUUGCUCUUUAAUCUAUAUUGGAAGCAUAAUCUAUGCUAGACACUUGUGCAAAGUGAGAAACAGUAAUUCUACCAAUUGAUAUCAAAUAUUGAUCACAAAAGCUGUCUAUAAAAUAUGACACAAAAGAACCUACCAUAUUCAAACAAUAAGAUAUCAGAAGUGAUUACCACAAAUAACAUGGUCUUAGG